rnacentral:rRNA from 1 species
UUGACGUUAGCGGCGACGGGUGAGUAACACGUGGGUAACCUACCUAUAAGACUGGGAUAACUUCGGGAAACCGGAGCUAAUACCGGAUAAUAUUUCGAACCGCAUGGUUCGAUAGUGAAAGGUGGUUUUGCUAUCACUUAUAGAUGGACCCGCGCCGUAUUAGCUAGUUGGUAAGGUAACGGCUUACCAAGGCGACGAUACGUAGCCGACCUGAGAGGGUGAUCGGCCACACUGGAACUGAGACACGGUCCAGACUCCUACGGGAGGCAGCAG